GAAAUUACAAAAAUUUCCCCCUUUUUUUAAGUCUGUCGAAAACAUAGAUAGAAACCACUAGGAACUCCUUGAGCUAACACGUUCAUGCAUUAUGACCUACUGUGCAUAGAAGCUAUCCCUUCUUGGCUAUGAAUACCACUUUGGCUACCAUGCUUCAGGUAGGCAAGCACUCAUAAUCAAGUUUAAACUCUGUCAGUUUGAUUUUUACUAUGAAUCCAAGCAUUGACUAAGGCAACAGAGUGGUGCUUGGCCAUCACCUCUUUUCCUGUGGAAGGCUGAGCAGACUUGAAUAUGCAUUCUCCUGCAGAACUAAACUUGAUUCCAACUCCCUGUUCUCAUGUAAGUAUCAACAAUUUCUGAUGUCUACAUAAGGUGCAGGAUGUUUAAAGUAGUGGUCUUUGUGCUCAAAUGAAAAUAAACAGAAAAAAUAGAAAGCUCAAAUACACUCAGAAGCUGAGUUUAUUGAAAAGGAAGCUUUAGAUUUUAUUUACAUAAUCAUUAAACUUAACACUAUUGUCAUAUUCCAGAAAAAAUGCUAAUUUUGAUUUCUUCUGGAUGACAACUACUGAAAUAUGUUCUUUUCAACUAUGUUAUGCCGUGGUCAGCUGCAAUAUAAUUACUUUUGUUUCUUGAAAAUAUGCAACUUUUGGAAUAUUAGGAUUCAGAAACAAAGAUGCUGGUCACAAUGAAAACAAUUGGAACGUUCUGUACUCUACAGAAGAGAGAAGGCUCUAUGAUUAAUUUUGUGACUUAGAAGAUGAGGAAUUUUUUAAAACAGCCAUCUCAGCAUGGUCAAAGUGCAAAUGAUCAUCUUUCAAAUUUGCAGUUUAAAAGGACUACUAUAUAGAUCACAAGAUUAAUUUAACCUUGUUAAAAAAUGGCCACCGUCAAAGUAGAGAAUCAACUGUUCAACCUCUCUAGAACUCAAAUAAAUUAUGCUCCUUAGUUGGCAAGUUGAUCGAGUUUGGAAAGUAGGGCAAAAUUCAAAUCGGUCGCUCUCCUUUAUUGAAUUUUUUAGCAGAUCAGUGGAUAUCCUCUUCAUUGUCUAGCACACGAAAAAGGAGGAAAAGAAAUUUCAACUUUUUGAUUCUUUUCCAGGAUGUCUCCUGUUGUGAACUACUCUCAUAUAUCUGAUUGAUGGGAAUGGUCAUAUAUCCUUCAAACUCAAAUCGGCCAACUGUUUUCGGCAAUCCUAUUCAUUCUUUUUGUGUGUGUGUGUUAAAAGCAACAGCGUGUUCCCUUAAAUGAAAAGCCUUUAUUCUUCUUCUUGGAGAGUUGAUACCAAACUUUCUGCAGUCUACGGUCGAGUUUAUUUUCUUUACAACUUAAAAGAACAUUAACAUAUGGUUUUUUUACUGUUCAUUUAUUAUAGAAUGUAACAAGGCACGCAUAUGGUUACCAAUGGAUAGAAUCCUAUCUAAGCUCCUCAUCUGGCUUUGUUACUCAUUAGCCUUUUUCAUUCAUCUUCAUGCAUUGAGUUCUCACUGCAAAAUCUGACCACAAAACAUUUAUUUCAGUUGUCUCCUGUGCGAAUUGAGCAAGUUUAGCAUGGCAGAUUUGCCACGUUAUUUGAUAGCUUGCUUGCAAACUGGGAAACUGGCUAUGCUAGCAAUUCUGGUUUCAGGGGGAAUUGUGUUGCAGAUACUGGUCAGUUUUGCUCUGUUUAGUGAAUUUCCUUCACUUCAUUUAGUUGCAACUGUAUACUGUUAUCCUGUUAAAGUCAUUUUUCUGAUUAGUUCUUUUAUGAUUUUGCAGGCAUGUGCUUUGUACAACAAUUGGUGGCCAAUGUUAACAGGUAGUUUAUAUGCAGAUUUCUUUGGCUUUUCCAUUGUUUCAAGCAGAAAAUAUGGUUCAAUUGUUAAAAAAUAUUCCUAAAUUCAUCUGAAAGCAUUCAAGCACUACACUGAAUAUUAAAUUAUGGACAUUUCACCAAUAAGCCUAUUGCAAACUUAACCAGUUUCACCAAAAAUGUAAUCUAGGUUAGCAAGAAAAUGUGUAAAUAUAAGCGACAAUACAUAAAACAUUGGCAAAAUAGUGUUAUGUUUCAUUAAUUCAAUAUUUAUUGGGCUUUUAAAAGCAGAGCUUCAACCUUUAAAUGAUUUGAAAUUUGCAUGACAACGCUCUGGUUUUUUCUGAAACCACUUUAUAUCAAAAUGAUUAUAUAUGCAUUUACUUUGAACAUACUUUUGAAGAAUGUACUCUGGUUUGAAGGUCAAAUGCAACAAUAUGCAUUUUCUCUGAUACAUUAAUUUGCGGAUCUCAAUGAGGAGGUCUAAACGGAUCGAAAUGGUGCUCCAAGUUUCGGCCGAGAAAUGGUGAAAAUAUUGGGAUUUGUGUUUUGACAUGUUACUUUUUUCAUUUAAGAUCGUGUAACUACAUGUAAAACAUGUGACGCAGCGCGAAACAAGGAAUUCAAGCCAAAACCUUAAGAACAAGAAAUUUGGAACCCACCAAAUAAUAAAGAAAAUAAAUUUACUAAUUUUAUUAAUGAAAAAAAAAAGCCCUUAUUUAUAAGAGUUUAUAUGGAAACGUAGUUUAGAAUAACUAAAAGUAAUGAAAAAGAAGUUUAAACAAACUAAAAUUGCAAAAAAACCAAAAUAGACGAAUUGCAAAAGUAGCUCCAAAAUUUUAAAAAUCAGUUUUCAAGGCCUAAACGUACUUGAAUGGCCGAAAUUCGUCGUACAUCAUAGCAUAGCGGUGAGUAUUGUUCCUCUCGUCGUUCUUCUUCCAAAAUAGUCUUAUGGGCCUGAUCUGGAAUUAAGAUGAUGUUUUAUUUCUACUAGUGUUUCUUUCCCUAAUAUGACCAAUAUGUCCUACAUCAACAUGAAAUAAUUACCAAAACUCGAUUUAUUCCAUAACCUGUAUAUCUGUAACAUCAUGUUGAAAAGACCAUAAGAGUAAAAUAUUAAAUUGCAACAAACAAAAAUUUAAAUCCUAACUAUAAGUAACAUACUAAUAAAUGAACUUUUAAAGCUUCGUAAUCUGAUGUCUGGGCUCUGAUGGCAAUUAUCAACAUCCUGACUCAAGUGAUUAUGCAAAUGUAGAAAUUAGCUAAGUAUAGAUUAGCCUAUAAAUACACUCAGUAUGAAUCGUGCCAAUAAUUUUCAUAAUUUAAUAAUCCAACACAUCUGAAGUGAAAUGUUGAUGAAGAAACUGACCAUUUCAAUCUUAGAUAGGGCACCCCGCCUAAGUUUCAAUGUAGAUCUAUGUACCAAGUGGUUUUAGCCAUCAUAAUCAUCUCAAUCUCUGAAGAAUAUAUCAAAAUGAUUAUAUAUGCAUUUGUACAUAUUUUUAAUAAUUAAGUUGGUUGGCAAAAAUAGUACUCUGGUUUCUGAUAAUCAUAUUCUUGCAUUGUUCCUCUGCAGUAUUAAUGUAUGUUCUUCUACCUAUGCCUCUGAUUUUCUUUGCUGGGUAGCAAGUAGGUAAAGCUUUCUCCUUCAAAACUGAUCGUUUUAUUUUUUCUAGAAUCAUAAAAGUUAUGGCAUCAUUCUCAGUUUAAUGAAAAUUGUCUAUAUGACUAUAUAUAUAUGUAUUUCGACCUCAUACUUGCGUUUUUUACAAUCACACCAAGCAACAGUUGGGUUGAUGCGACAAAGUUCUUGACUGGAGCUUCAGCUGUUGGCAGUAUUGCUAUACCAAUUAUUUUAAAGCAUGCUGGCGUAAUUGGUUGGGGAGCCAUGGCAAUGGAACUCUCAUCGUUUUUCAUACUUGUCAUGGCCAUUUUGUGUUACCUUGGAACAAGCAAUGACGAUGGAUACAGUACAUUUUGAAGUACAAAACCUUUAUUUGGGAUAAGGAGGUUUCUUUUGCCAGCGAGUGUUGUUUGCUUGAGCAUGUGCUCCUGUGAUUGUGAUUUGUAUAUGCAUGUGUUUACAUUCAUAGAUUGUUCGUUAUCAAAAGAUGUUGAAGUGGUUAUCCACUAGAUAACAGCGAUGAAUGUACUUUGAUUGGAUACUCGAAAUUUGUUUAUAAAAUGAAGCCUUUUGACAUUACUUAUAGAAACU
rnacentral:lncRNA from 1 species